AAGGAUAAACAAAAGCUCGCUUUACUUUAAGUGAAGAGGAAAGUCCGGACUCCUUCAGCAGUGCAAAGGCUAAUGGCCUUCCACCGAAAGGUGAGGACAAGUGGAACAGAAAGCAGAUCCAGCAAGUCUAACUUGGCUGGAGUGAAAUCAGCUAAACUCUGCAUGGAGCGAGAUCAAAUAAGAAGGCUAUACUUUUGCUGAGAGUUUGCGCCUUCGGGUCGAUCGCAAGAGGGCUUUGGCAACAAAGCUCCUAGAUGAAUGAGCUUUUCCCUUUUUUUGGCAAAAAAAGGAAGACAGAAUCCGGCUUAUCGCUUAUCCUUCAAU
rnacentral:RNase_P_RNA from 1 species